GUGGGGAAUUAUUCCGCACCAGUCGCGGGUUAACUGGCUUGUGGCCGCCAAGCGUUCAUAGCGACGUGGCUUUUUGAUCCUUCAGUGUCGGCUCUUUCUAUCAUUGUGAAGCAAAAUUCACCAAGCGUAGGAUUGUUCACCCUUUCAAGGGAACGUGAGCUGGGUUUAGACCGUCGUGAGACAGGUUAGUUUUACCCUAC
rnacentral:rRNA from 1 species